rnacentral:tRNA from 1 species
GCCUCUGUGGCUCAGCGGUAGAGCAGCCGCCUUGUAAGCGGCAGGUCGUCGGUUCGAUUCCGACCGGAGGCU